UCUGGGGUGAAAUCCCGGGGCUCAACCCCGGAACUGCCUUCAAAACUGCCAGUCUAGAGUUCGAGAGAGGUGAGUGGAAUUCCCAGUGUAGAGGUGAAAUUCGUAGAUAUUCGGAAGAACACCAGUGGCGAAGGCGGCUCACUGGCUCGAUACUGACGCUGAGGUGCGAAAGUGUGGGGAGCAAACAGGAUUAGAUACCCUGGUAGUCCACACCGUAAACGAUGAAUGCCAGUCGUCGGAUAGUAUACUAUUCGGUGACACACCUAACGGAUUAAGCAUUCCGCCUGGGGAGUACGGUCGCAAGAUUAAAACUCAAAUGAAUUGACGG
rnacentral:rRNA from 1 species